CAAAUUAGAGCUUGAAUUUAAGUAUUUCAUUUACAUUGAAAAGAUAUUAAUAAUAAAUAAUUAAUUUGA
rnacentral:tRNA from 1 species